GACAGCAGCAGCCACGGGAAUACGUAGGGUGCAAGCGUUAAUCGGAAUUACUGGGCGUAAAGCGUGCGCAGGCGGUUAUAUAAGACAGAUGUGAAAUCCCCGGGCUCAACCUGGGAACUGCAUUUGUGACUGUAUAGCUAGAGUACGGCAGAGGGGGAUCGAAUUCCGCGUGUAGCAGUGAAAUGCGUAGAUAUGCGGAGGAACACCGAUGGCGAAGGCAAUCCCCUGGGCCUGUACUGACGCUCAUGCACGAAAGCGUGGGGAGCAAACAGGAUUAGAUACCCGAGUAGUCCCUGUCUCUUAUAC
rnacentral:rRNA from 1 species